UAAAAUUUAUACGCGUGACUCCUUAGUUCGCUCCCCCCUCUUUCCAAUCUCUCUCAUAUUCCCAAUGUAUUUUCUCCUUCCCUAGGCUGUGGAGAAGACGUACGCGUCCACAUUUGCGAAACAGCUUCUUCAUAUUCACCUUGGUUAUGGAGUUCAUACAGAGUCGCGUGGAGCCGUGGAUAAAGGACCAGCGGGCGCAGCUGCUGGGGCUGAAGGAGAAGGUGUCGGAUGAAGUGGCCGUGGGCGUCGCACCGCGAGCACAAGAAGCGGAUCCAAGAAGAGUACCAAUGCCUCCGGAACCUCUACCACGCCCUCAAGGCGGAAUCCUUCUACGAUUUGCAGGAUCUUCUCUGCUUUAUGAUGCUCUCCAAGUGCCUAUACAAGGUCAUGUGAGAAGAUGAUGCUGGCUCAAUAGACAUAAAUGGAACACUUUUCUUCCUCCAACAAGCCCAUUGGCACUGGCCUGCCGAACAUACCAUCAAUUGCCGGAGGUUAAUUUCCCCUAAGGAAUCCCGUGAAUCAAGCACUGGCAUCGAUGCAUCGUCGUCGGAUUUCAAGGCCAUUAUUCAAUUUCAUUUAUUCCAUUUCCCGCCAAAGCGAAGCAACAGUAACCUUUCUCAAACUAAGAAUUCAGCAUUUGUUAUUAAUAAAAAUAAAAUAUGUGGAGUUUUUCUUUUUUUGAGAUAAAAUAUGUGGAGUUAUAAACUCAUAAUUCAAAAUUAU